GACGGGUGAGUAACACGUGGGUAACCUGCCUGUAAGACUGGGAUAACUCCGGGAAACCGGGGCUAAUACCGGAUGGUUGUUUGAACCGCAUGGUUCAGACAUAAAAGGUGGCUUCGGCUACCACUUACAGAUGGACCCGCGGCGCAUUAGCUAGUUGGUGAGGUAACGGCUCACCAAGGCGACGAUGCGUAGCCGACCUGAGAGGGUGAUCGGCCACACUGGGACUGAGACACGGCCCAGACUCCUACGGGAGGCAGCAGUAGGGAAUCUUCCGCAAUGGACGAAAGUCUGACGGAGCAACGCCGCGUGAGUGAUGAAGGUUUUCGGAUCGUAAAGCUCUGUUGUUAGGGAAGAACAAGUGCCGUUCAAAUAGGGCGGCACCUUGACGGUACCUAACCAGAAAGCCACGGCUAACUACGUGCCAGCAGCCGCGGUAAUACGUAGGUGGCAAGCGUUGUCCGGAAUUAUUGGG
rnacentral:rRNA from 1 species